rnacentral:rRNA from 1 species
GCCUUGGUAUUCCGAGGGCAUGCCUGUUGAGUGUCAUUAAAUUCUCAACCUUCCAGCUUUUAUUAGUUUGGUUAGGCUUGGAUGUGGGGGUUGCGGGCUUCAUCAAUGAGGUCGGCUCUCCUUAAAUGCAUUAGCAGAACUUUUGUGGACUGUCUAUUGGUGUGAUAAUUAUCUACGCCGUGGAUAUGAAGCAGCUUUAUGAAGUUCAGCUUCUAACCGUCCAUUGACUUGGACAAUUUUGACAAUUUGACCUCAAAUCAGGUAGGACUACCCGCUGAACUUAAGCAUAUCAAUAAGCGGAGG